AAUUUUGGACACUGGGCGCAAGCCUGAUCCAGCCACGCCGCGUGCGUGAGGAAGGCCUUCGGGUGGUAAAGCCCUUUCGGACGGAAAGAAAUCGCGCAGGCUAAUACCCUGCGCGGAUAACGGUACCGUCAUAAGAAGCACCGGCUAACUACGGGCCAGCAGCCGCGGUAAUACGUAGGGUGCGGGCGUUAAGCGGGAUUACCGGGCGUAAAUCGUGCGCAGGCGGUUGAUUAAGACAGGCGUGAAAUCCCCGGGCUUAACCUGGGAACUGCGCUUGUCACUGGUCAGCUAGAGUACGGCAGAGGGAGGUGGAAUUCCACGUGUAGCAGUGAAAUGCGUAGAGAUGUGGAGGAACACCGAUGGCGAAGGCAGCCCCCUGGGCCGAUACUGACGCUCAAGCACGAAAGCGUGGGUAGCAAACAGG
rnacentral:rRNA from 1 species